rnacentral:rRNA from 1 species
GUUCAAGGAAAUAAGAGCUUACGGGGGAUACUUGGUAUUCAGAGGCGAAGAAGGACGUGGUUACCGACGAAACGCUUCGGGAAGCUGGAAACACGCUAUGAUCCGGAGAUAUCCGAAUGAGGAAACUUUUAACUAUCUGCUGAAUUC